UCCAGAAGCAGACUCCCCACUGAGCACUGAACCCAACUCAUGACUGGAUCCUACAACCCUGAGAUUGUGACCUGAACUGAAAUCAAGAGUUGGCCGCUCACUCAACUGAGCCACCCAAACAUCUCGAGGGAAAGCUCCUUAUAAUAAGGAUGAAGAUCUUCUCCCAAGAAAAUAUUUUGAGGUUGACUUUCUGGUGAUAGUCACGAGAAAGCUACACAGCAUCAAGCACAUUUUCUGGUCCUGUGCCUUAGAGUUUCCGAUUUUGCCAUCAUAGUAUCUGGAGCUCAUGACCAAGGAAGAAUUCUUGAGCUGUCUCUGGUGCCGCAAAAAGGCCUCCCUCGGUCAGGAGUCCUGUGACACUUGGCAGGGUAAUCUGACUGCACUGGACACUUUUCCACAGCGGACCAGGUUAGUUUUAUGACCUGCAGAGAUGUUCUCCUGGGUUGGUGGCCGGGACUCUGGCCUACGCCAUUCCCUGGGCGGAGUGGAUGGCAGUGAGACUUCCUUCAUGGGCCACACCUUCAGUUUCUCCAGAGAUGUGCUGGACUUUGCUGAUGUCAUCUGGGUACAGCAAAAAUCAACAGCCCCUCCAAAUGCGAUCCUAACACUGAAGGCAGAAGUAACACAGUGGAAGAACUUGUCCCAGUCUUCAUCGCAGGGACUGAAGAGCUCAGACUCAGCUGCAGUCUGGAAACUGAAGAACACCUUCAGGGACAGAACAGCAUCGGGUGAGGGAGAGGGAUGACCACAUCAGCUUGGAGUGGCAGGAUUCCAGAAUAUCCCUCAGGAGCUUCCCCAGGAAAAGCGUUUGGAUGUUGGGAGCAUAACCGCCACACCCUUCAUAGCUCGGUAGUUGCCUCGACCUCUGCUGGCAUCGAGCAAUAAAGAAACACAGUCAAAGGUCAGGACCAGAGACCCAUUGACUCUGUCGAGUUUUCAUUUUCUCAUACUUGAACUCACCCUGCCAGGGUGAUCUGGUAAGAACUAGAUUUACCCUUGACUUGACAAUCUAUGGAGUUCCUACCCAAGGCACCACAGCAGGUGCUGGAGAAAGAUGACAAGGCCUUUUUCGAGGACUUCAUUUACUGGAGAACAAGAACAAGUAAAUAGGCCACUGCAUCAGAGAAAACUGGGUGCUGUGUGGACUUAUGAAAUUUCCCAGGAUGGGUCCCUCCAGUCUUUGUUGGAGCAUCAGUAGCAUCAGUGAAGGCCUUUUAGAGGCAGAGACCUUUGCCCGGAGAGCUGAAAAAUGAGUAGGCGGCAGCUACAGGGCUGGUGUGGUGAAAUGAGCUCUGGAGAAUUCCAGGGAGGGGUGAACAGGUAGGAAUCCUCGGCCUGCUCUGGAAUCUAAAAGCAGGGCAUCUAUGGCUGAAAUGGAAGUAUGGAGGGAGAAGCUGUUGCAGAAGAAGCUGGGCCAAGGAGAGCCUGACUGGCUUGGGAGCUUGAAAGGGCUCAGAAUGGGUGCACCUGGGUAGCUCAGUUUGUUCAGCAUCUGCCUCCAGCUCAGGUCAUGAUCCCAGGGUCCUGGAAGAGGGGCCCCAGGUCAAGCUGCCUGCUUGGUGGGAAGCCUGCAUCCUCCUCUCCCAGUGCUUGUGUUCUUGCUCUUUCAAAUACAUAAAGAGAAUAAAUAAUAGACUCAGAACUUUGUGCCAAAAGAGCAAACACCCCUUUCCUGAUACAGUGUAUAAACAGGCCAGAACGACAAUGUGACAAAUCUGUCUUGACCCUCACUGAAUAUUGAUUUCACAAAACAUGUUACUAAGACUCCCAAGGAAUUAUCUUAGAAUUCAUUUACAUAUUCUCCAUUGAAACAUUAGCCCCCACACCUGAUGAGGGAUUAGAAGCUGACACCCUGUACUCAGCCUCCCCCAUGCCUCGGGGGGACCUGUGUGACCUUCCUCCAGGAAACUUCCAACCAUCUUCAUGUUCAUUCCUUGCUGGAAGGUAAAACCACCUCACUUGACCAUGGCAAGGUCUCCAGUAUCUUGUAGGUCCUCUUUAGCAUAGGAAAGUGCUUUUGAAACCCUUCCCUUUCCUUUCCAUACCUCCCCCACCUUCCAAGUGUAUAUCAGUUGCCCCCCACAACCCUGAUGCAGCUAUUUCUGCCCACGGAUCCUGUUCCCAUGCUUUAAUAAAACCACCGUUUUGCACCAAAGAGGUCUCAAGAAUUCUUUCUCAGUCAUCAGCUCUGGACCUCACCCCACCAAAUGUUACUUACAUUCCAAAACUCUAUCACUGCUCCCCUGCCUACCUGCCACUUGGCAUUACUUCUCUCAUUUCCUACAAAUAACAGAAAAGUAGGCACUGCUAGGCUUUAGGGGACAGGCAUCAACUCUGGAAACAGGAUCAAUGCACACUAAGAGCAUAGGGUGGGGUAGCGACCAAAUUACACAACAAAACAAAGCCACUAAGCAGAAAGUUCUGGGGGAGGGUCCCCAAACCCUCAAAAGCAAGUUUAGAAAAUGGGAGGGGAAGGAAAAGCAUUUUGGUACACACACACACCAGAAGAACUGCCACACGUGCUUUGGCCAAACCAUACUCCCUUUUUGACUCAGGUGUUGUGGGGUU